AAGCGCUGCCACCUGAGGAGCCUGGUAGCCAAGGCAGCGGCAGGCUCAACCCAGAUCUCGCGAGACGGAGCAGGCCUCGCGAGAUUUGACCUCGUCCCUGAGAGGCUGGUGUGUGUUAGUUCAGGGGGUUAUGGGAGGGCUCUGGUAUCCGGGAUGGAGGGGCGUCGCUUUCUGUGGCUGGCGUUGGAUCCACCCUGGGUCUCCAGCCAGGGCUGCAGAGAGGGUAGAGCCGUUUCUUAGGCCAGCGUGGAGUGGGACAGGAGGUACCGAGAGAGGACUGAGGUGGCUUGGGACAUGGAAGCACUGCAGCCUUCCAGCCCGGCAUCCAGCACUGCAGCCGCCGCGGCGGCCCAAGAGCUCCGACCCUUUCACGCGCGCGCAUGUGGAGGAAUGGCGGCGGCGGAACAAAACGACCCUCACUUACGUGGCCGCUGUCGCCGUGGCCAUGCUGGGGGCGUCCUACGCUGCCGUACCCCUUUAUCGGCUCUAUUGUCAGACUACUGGACUUGGAGGAUCAGCAGUUGCAGGUCAUGCCUCAGACCAGAUUGAAAACAUGGUGCCUGUUAAGGAUCGAAUCCUUAAAAUUAGCUUUAAUGCAGAUGUGCAUGCAAGUCUCCAGUGGAACUUUAGACCUCAGCAAACAGAAAUAUAUGUGGUGCCAGGAGAGACUGCACUGGCGUUUUACAGAGCUAAGAAUCCUACUGACAAACCAAUAAUUGGAAUUUCUACAUACAAUGUUGUUCCAUUUGAAGCUGGACAGUAUUUCAAUAAAAUACAGAGUGUACAGAAAUUGUUCUUCUUGUUGCUCACUGGCAGCCUUGCUAGAGCAAUGUCAAGAUCAAGGGAAUUCAAUGGCUGAUACCUAUGACAAAAAUGUAGAAAUUAAUUGAAAUCAAUUUGAAGCCAACAUCAAUAGCCCUCAGUCACAUGAAGACACUCCCUUUGCCCUUUCAAGAGACAGAUGGGAUGGAAACAUGAAAGGAAUAGCACAUCUCAACAGGUCUGCAAAGCAGAAUGUGAAAAACCUCUUCAAAAGCCAGCCCACUCUGAUCUUUGCAAUUGAUGUCUGUCUCAGAGGAGGGCCAAGCCACCUGGAAACACCCGAGAUCAAGCUCUAUGGACAAAAGGAUAGGUCACAGUUGCCCAGAGCAGGAGAGCAUGAGAAAUCCUCAAAGGCUCAAAACCAAGUAAGAUCUAAAGACUCAAGCAGCAAGAAAGGAACGAUGGUUCACAAGGCACCUAUCUGCCAAUCUCCAGUAGAGUUCUCAGCAGAUGCAAAGGACAAAGCCCAGGGUGCGAACAACGCGGGGAGCUGGAGCAAAAACCCCUCCUCCACUCAGACGGAAGCCCCACAUGACUACUCCCUGUGAAAGUCAGCGAAUCAGAAAAACCUCAGCCCCACAAAGCGAGAUGUCAAGCCAAAUUGGGUGUCAGCGUCGGUUCUUGGUGGAGAGAGUGAAAAUACUUAUUUUUCCUGAGAAAUCUGACAGCCUUACUACAUCCUCAUCUCUAGGAAUGAGGCUGCCUGCCUUCAAAGUUUAAAAAAUCCUAAUGAGUGCUGAUUAUUUUUCUUCUAACUGCAGAGGUUCCUAGAUUGUUUUGGAAACCAGCAGUUCUUUGGAGGAGAGUCCUUUUUUCUGGCCUCGACAGUCACCCUGGAAGUUCCCUGCUCCUGAGUUAGUGGCUCAGACAGCAGAGGACAGAGGACAGUUGUUUUCCUCGCCAUGUGAGUGCCCAAGGCCUAUUCAAUCUUGCUCUCAUUUUGAGGUUAGUAUGGGCUGCUUCGGGGAAAAGUCCUUUGGAAGGGUCUCUUUCACUUCUAUGGGGCUGUGAGCUCUGAGCUGGUCUGAUCCCACCUGCUUUAUCAGGCACUGAAUAGUCUCACUGUUCUGGAGGCCUGAUAGCCUUUUCUGUCAUCCUUGGGGUUUAUUUUUAUUUUCAUAUUUCUUCCAUCAUUUCAAUGGGAUUUCGGGAAGAAAGAGGAUGUAAAUAUAUUUUGGCAAGCUAAAAAAAAAUUGUGAUUAUUGGUUGGUUUGGGGAGAAAAAUGCCUGUUUUACAGUUCACGUAGCUGAUUUCAAAUACUUUUCUUCUUUCUUUACAAUUGUACUCCUUCCAUCAGAGGAUGCCCGUGGGCCCUCACUGACCCCCAGCCUGGGUGUCGCCUCUGCUGAUGACUCCCUAGGCUUAUGCUGAAGCCUCCAAAAGGCCCUGCAGUUAUAAGGGGGCAGCCAACCAGGGCGCCAGUAUUAUCUGGGGGUUCUAACUGUACUGACCUGACUCCUUCAGAUGGGUGUGAGAAACCUGUGAAAAAGUACACCCUAGAGAAUUCUUUGUUUAUGACAUAAGGUUAGAGGGGGGGAAAAAAAGAAUAGAAAAACAAAAACACCAAAAAAAAGAAUUCUGUUUCUCCACAGUCUAUCGAUGCUGAUUUCAUUCUGAAAUUCUUAAAUCAGAUAAACUUCUUGUCCUUUUUCUCCAUAGACGAUUUAAUUGAAUUAUUUCAGAUCAACCAUAGUGGAGUUAUUUAGAUGUAAAAAAAAAAUUAAUUAUUUGUCAAAAGAAAUUAAGAAUAGCACUCCCCACACCAGAUCUUUAUAUGUCACUAACAAAAAGCACACAAAGAAAAAUAACAUUCCACAUUCAACAGUCUCUAUAAACAAAUUGAUCCCCUGCCAGAACCUAUUCAAUCUGAAUUGGCCAUGAGUAGUAUUCUCAUGUUGAUUUAUAACCUGAGACUCUUUACUAUUCAAGGCAAAACACAGCCCUGAGCUCUGGCAUUAAAACAGCAACCAACAAAUUGGUAUUAUCCUUGCAAAAUUCAACCAAACAUCUGCAGCCAAACACUCUGAGACAAAAAAGGCACUUCAGAUUGGAAUAAAAUAUAAAACUGGAUUCACGUAUUUAAAUGAAAUGUUUCAGUGUAUGUUUACUGAAAGAUUGUAUGCCACAGAUGGAUGAGAAUAUGAGACAAAAAGUCACAAAUCAUUUCAUUUUUGAGCUCUGAAAGGUCCAGGAAGACCAGGUGGAACUAGAAAUAUUGCUGUGGCCAUUUAAAAAAAUAUUAUCCACCACAUAACCAUUUACUUUGAUAUUUAAUUUUUCAAUUUUAGUUUAACACAUGUGUUAACAUCAUGAGUUAAAAAGUUUAUAUCUGGAAAAGCCUCCAUUAUGGACUACUACAUUUGAAAUCUAUUUAAUGAUGAAUUUUCCUUUUUACAUCCCAUAUAAAGAGGAUGUAUUUAAUAUUACUCUGGCUGUCAUCUAAGCUCUUCAUUUGAUACAUAAACUAAGUCCAUUGGUAGUAAAUGACUUGCCUAAGGUCAAGAACCCCAAAGAUCCUUAGCAAAAUGUUUUAAUUCUCCUAAGAUAUUCCAAAAAUAAUAUACUUAAAGCCACUGAUCCACAAUAUUGAUUUAUUUCUCAACGUGUACUACUCUGAUGUUCUGCAGAAUAUCAGCAGGUAUUUGGCAAAUUGGGAUUCUUUAGUUAAAUAAGUUAACAAAUGUUGGGUUAAACAAAGACUCUUAGCUAUAUCAGUGAACUUUAUGCACCUCCAAAAGGAGAAAUACAGUAGACAAUUGGUUUUGCAAACGUAUUUGACCAAAGAUACCACUUUCUACCCACAGAACACAGCAUACAACCAAUGAGAAAUACUCUCUUGUUUUCUAGAGUCUUAUCUUGCUUCCUGAGAAUUUAUCAUCAUAACACCACCAGAAGGAUUUUUCUAAAAUCUGACCUGGUUAUGUAGCCCCUCAGCUUAUACCCUUUCAACAGCUCCCUUCUGCCAGCCUGGUCAAGCCCACGCUUUGGCAUGGCAUAAUCCUCCAUUACCUGUACAGGUCAGCUCUUACCUCACCUGGAACUUUAUACUCCCACGUUGUGGUUUACAUCCUCUUCUCAUCCCUACACACCUGAGCGAUACCACAAAUUCACAUCCAUUAACGUUGGGGUAGGGCAUGGCAAUGAGUUCCUCAAGAGGAAUAUCUGAGUCCCCAGUAGUCUCUGGGUAUAGGCUUGCAUGGAUAUAGGAGAAAUGACCUCUGGUUUUUUAAUUUGUUUUUAUUAUUUUUUAAACAACCCUUUAAAAAACCCUUCUGAGCCUGGAGACAGCACAAAAGAGAGCAAGGCCCAGUUUUGGCCCAUAGGCCACAGUUUGCUAACUCUUGAAUUAGAGGAUAUUCAAGGAUAUUCAAGGUUGCCCACAAUGAGUACUGCCUAGAACAUGGAAGGAAUAUGAAGGGUGCUCCAUGCCUAAAAGCCAGAAGCCAAGAAGCACAAGGGGCUCUAACAGAUGGGUUGAGGUAUAGCAGUGAAAUAACCAGGCAAGACAACCCCUGCUCAUGCCCCUUCCCUCAUUUGAGACCAGAUAGCUGAGAAAGGAGUAAUGUUUCCAGGUGGAAACAAUGAAUUAGGACAGAGGGAUAGGGUAUUAUUUCUAGGUGCUAGUAGCAUUCAGGAAAAAAAAAAAAAAAUAGAGAAUACAUAAUCCAGAAGACCAGCCAUAAAUGGGUCCCAAACAGCAUCAUCCCAUAUUGCUAUACCAUAUUCUGAAAACAUUAUCAAGCUCAGCUGUAGCAAUUACAUUCUCCCUUCAGCAUGGGUGAGCUGGGUCAGUAGAGAAUGCAGACCAGCUGGCAGAGAGUCUCACACAAAAAUGAGCUCACUAACAGCAAUCCAGCUGAACACUGGAGAAAUGCAAAUUAAAAAGACCAACAAAAAAAUUUGCAGAAUCCACAGAAGAAACAAGAAAGCAGUAUUAAAUAUAAUUAUUAUUCUUGGAAAGAUAAAGAAAAGUAGAACCAUGAAACGAAAGAACUAUUACAAAAAUCCAACAUAUUUUAAAAAUAUUUUAACAUUAUACACAUAUUUGUACAUAGUAAAUAUUUUUAAAGUAUAUAUUUUUAAAUAAAAAUAAACUGUUGAAACAUUUAUUAGAAGGACUGAAUAAGCAACCCAAUGUACAAGUUUUAGAGAAAUACAUUAAACAGAGAAAUUAUCCAAGAACUUAGAAUGAAGAGAUGAAAAGUAUAAAAGAAAUGUUAAGAGACAAAUGAAUCCAACUGGAAGUUUCAUCAUCUUAAAAAAGUUCCAUAAGAAGAGAAUAGAAAGAAUGGUAGAAAGGCAAUAUUUAAAGUAGGAGCUGAGAAUUUCCUAGAAUUAAAAAUACACAUGAGUCAAUAAGGCAAAAAAGGCUAUCAUCUACUAAGUAGGAUAAGUAAGGAAAACAAACAUCUGCACACACAUGUACAUAUAUCUCUUGAUAGGGAACAGUAAAAUUUCUGAAAUAUUAAAGUAGAGAAAUAACAAAUGCAACUAGAAAAAAAUAUAAAUCAAAGGAUUAAGAAGCAGAAUAAUAUAAUACUUCUAUCAGCAUUAGUGGGUGUAAAAGAACAAUGAAGCAGUAUCUUCAAAGGCCUGAAGAACAAGAAUUUUGUGCCUAGAAUUUUAUAUCUAGCUAAACUAAUCUGCAUUUAACAUGACAAUCAAAGGACAUUUUUGGAUAUGCAAGCACUCAAAGUUUGCACCAAAGUUUACCAACAUGGGUGUACUUCAGCAAGGAAAAAACAAACUAUUCACGAUAGCAGUGAUAUAUAAGAAACAUUGUUGGGAAAAUUUUUACAAUUUUUUUUGUUUCCCAAAUAAGAAAUGAGCAUGGGAAAAGUUAUUUACUAACAAUCUAAGAAGUUAAAGGAAAAAUAACACAUGAGAAGUGGGGAGUGGGAAUCUGAGGAAAGUAAAAAUAUCUUAAGCUUCUUAGUUUAGCAACAAAGGGACUUAGAAACUAGAAACUGAUUUUUUUUCUAACUGCUUCUAAAAUUAAUAAGUUUUAAAAUUUUAAAUAAUUAGAACAGCAAACCAGUAGAGGGAAAAAUAAAGUAUAUGUAUACACAGACAUAGCAGAAGGCAUAGGAGGGCUGUAGAACUACUCAUGCAGGUCCAAAUGCCCUGUCUACUUGUUCCUCUACAGCUCAAGCACUGCCUCCAUCUAGACCAUUCCUAAAAACCUCACCUCUCUCCUUCUGCCCACCCAUGAUCCCACCAUACACUGAACAAAUUUAUAUUACAGUAUCUAUAAUACUUCUUUAUGUUUGUUGUUUACAAACCAAUCUUGCUCAUUAGGCAUAAAUUCUUAAGGACUAGAACAGCCUCCUCCUCAUUUCUACAUCCCUUCCUAUAUCACAGUUACUCAAUGUUUGUUGAAUGGAUGAAAAUAGAGGCGAUUUUUACAUACUUAAAACAACUAGAGAAUUGAUUAUACAUGACCAAGGUUAUAACUUACAAUAAAUUAUUUGUUGCAAGAGGCUAAAAUCCACGUCUAAGUCACUACCGCAUUUCUGACAAAGUCAUUCUUGGAUAUUUUUGUUAAGUUUAGAAAUCAAUUGAAAUGAGGAUGUAGGAGGACAUACUAGACAAUAUUAAGGUGUCUUCCAUCUCCAAAGCUCAGAAUUUAGAGAAUAACUUUAAGAGACACUUUGACUGAUUGUCCCUGAAAUCGUACAACACCUGCAGAAGCUCUAUGUCUUCAUGGUUUUCAGACCCAGGCGUAUUCUCCAUCAAUAUGGCGGACAUCACUCGCACAUUCAUUUUCACCAUAUCCAAUUCACUGUGCAAUUUUCCAAUCUGUAGAGAGCAACACAAUCACCAGUCAGUGUGACACACAGAGAAUGUGUUCACAUUCCUUGUUUCCUGCCCCCAUGGGACAUUUGCUGGAAGAAAAAAUACUUCUGCAAAAUUUAAUAUUUUCAAACUUAAAUUUAAUUUCAUAUAAAUAUACACAUAGUUAUUUUACAAUGUAUACCUUGUCACCUUCUAAAAGGACUUGAGAUCUCUUGUAAUAAACCCCAAAAUAUGCUUUAGGAAUUUUAAAAAUGAAAGAAAAAAAAAAAGGUUAGAACCAAAUAUGAAGAGGGGAGAAGUACUAGGUACCUAGCAGAAGAAGGUACCAGAAACCUGGAUAAAAUGGCAAAAGUUAUCCUGAGUUUCUUGGCAACCGACAGGAUAAAAGAAAAACAAAUGAGGGUUAUCUAGUUCUCAUGGUAUUAAAGAAGAAAGAAGAAAUAAAUCUUUUUCCUGUAUUAAAUUCUAAGAGGAAUUAGUCACAUGAAUUUUUAUAUAAGAAAAAAAUAAUAAUACAAAGUCUUCAAUUAUAGUUCCUUUACAGCAGAACGGAAAUGGGCUUCAUACAAUAAUUGCUUAUCUGUACCUUGGACAAACUGAUAUACACAAAGAAGUAAAUACAAUUCAGUUGGCAUAAUAAAUACAAGUAAUAAGACUACCAUUUACAAAACUCUCUGAAAUAUGUGACAGUCCUACCAGAAGUAACAGGAAUUAGCUCAUGGACACUAGAUCCAGUCCACAGUCAAGGCUCCACAAAGCCAUGAAAGCCACUAGGCAAGCACAACUCUUACAAAGUUGGGCUUUGGAAGUAGACAGAACCAAUGGGAUUAAUCCUUCUUGGAACUGAACUAUAAGUCACAUAGUAUGACUAAGCCUCAGUCUCUUCCUCUGUAAAAUAAAUGUACCUACAUCUCAAUGUUGUUAACCAGAAAGGACAAACUGUAUAUAAGGUGCUUACAAAUCAGGAAAACAUAUCAAUAAAUACAGUGAUUGCUGUUGUUACCUGUUCUGGGACCAAUGUAAUAGUCGAGUUCUUUGGAGCAAUUACAGAAGAAAGAGCUGGUGCAGUAGGGACAGAUGUUGGAGGAUUUGAUGAGAUUUGAGCAGUCUAUGAGUAUAAAAUAUGGUAAUAUUAUUAUGUGAAUUAACAUAGCCACCCAACGCCAAGUUUUUUCCAUUCAGCUAACUCAAGCACUCUCAAACAAAGUCCUGUGUACAGGGUAUCUGCCCGGAGUAAAUCAUCAACUACACAACCCGUCCAGCAUUUUGUGAAGAAUGCUAAGCAAAUGAGAUGCCCAUAAUAAAGCAGGUAUUCAACAA